rnacentral:rRNA from 1 species
GACGGAGGAUGCAAGCGUUAUCCGGAAUUAUUGGGCGUAAAGCGUCCGCAGGUGGCAGUUCAAGUCUGCUGUCAAAGACCGGGGCUUAACUUCGGAAAGGCAGUGGAAACUGAAGCGCUAGAGUGUGGUAGGGGUAGAGGGAAUUCCCGGUGUAGCGGUGAAAUGCGUAGAGAUCGGGAAGAACAUCGGUGGCGAAGGCGCUCUACUGGACCACAACUGACACUCAGGGACGAAAGCUAGGGGAGCGAAUGGG